AAAAAAAAAAAGAAAGCGGUGAUCUCGGUGUGACAGCUCAGAGCUGUCCACGUCAACACACCGAGCGAGCACGGCGGCGGCGGCAGCGAUGGACUCCACGUCUCUGGAACCUUCCCUUUACACAGUGAAAGCAGUUUUCAUUCUUGACAAUGAUGGCAACAGACUUCUGUCAAAGUACUAUGACCCUGAGCUUUACCCCUCCAUGAAGGAACAGAAGAAUUUUGAGAGGAACAUUUUCAACAAGACACACAAAGCUGACAAUGAGAUAGCUUUCCUGGAGGGGAUGACCAUCGUCUAUAAGAGCAGCAUAGAUCUCUUCUUCUAUGUGGUGGGAAGUGCUCAGGAGAAUGAGCUGAUGCUGAUGUCGGUACUGAACUGCCUGUUUGAGUCCCUCAGUCAGAUCCUCAGGAAAAAUGUGGAGCGGAGGUGUUUACUGGACAACAUGGAGGGAGUGUUCUUGGUUGUGGAUGAAAUCAUUGAUGGAGGGGUAAUUCUGGAGAGUGACCCCCAGCAGGUCCUACAGAAGGUCAACUACAGGCUAAUGUCAGAGCCAGCCUAUGGCUUCGUCCUGUUUGAUUACAUCACCGGUAACGUAGAGGGACAAACAGACAAGAGCCAGCUGCUGUAGACAGACAGACAGACACACAGAGGGCGGAUGAAAACCCAUUAUCUGAACAAAGUGUGGCCCAGGUUCUGCAGUCGGCCAAGGAGCAGAUUAAAUGGUCCAUACUGAAAUGACUUGGACCAGACAAAUGUAAUAUUCUCAAGAAAACAUUUUUAGUCCCAAAGCUAUUUUUUUAUAGUAACACACUAAAGGGAAGGUUGUUACAAGCCUGUAGGCCAAUAAGCUUAUAGCUUUAUAUAGCAAUUAACCAGCCAGUAAUAGAAUUAGGUUUCUGUGUGUAAUGGCAUCUUGUUACAUUGUGUGUGACAUGUAAUUAAUUUAUUUGGUUUUGGAUUGAUGUUGGUUCAUACUCGUGUAGAUUUGUCAUGAGGAAACGAAGGAGGAAGUGAAAGCUCGGCUUUCAGUGUCCAGCUGUGCUUCUGUAAAAGGCAGUUAGUACCAAACUAAUCAAUGAAAAUACUGGAAGUCUGAUCAGCGAUCAGUAAUCUAUUGCUUUUAUUUGGGUGGAGCAGGAUUUUCCACUCUUAUUUACUCAAAACUGAAUAUGACUUUGGGGUUUAUUUGCAUAUACUGCUAAUAUGCAUAAUUUGAAAGUUACAGUUUUUUUACACAACUUUUUUUUCCGCCAAAAUGUUACACAUGGAACAACUGGGCUAAAUCUAGCCCAUGAUAGGAUGCCAGGUCCCCAGACCACUUCCUAAUUCAAAACAAAACAAACAAAACACCAGCAGAUACUCGCAAAUUCAAGCUAAAAAGCUGAAUAUCACAUAAGAAAUUUUUACCACAUUAUUUUCCAGGGGUGGUGUUAAAUUCACUCACACACUGACAUCAUUUGUGCACUGAAAUGCUCACUUUUGUUGUUCCUUACAUGACACUUGCAGUACAUGUGUUUUGUAGAAUUUAUCUGAAGACUGUAAAGGAAUGUAAUGAUGCCUUAUGACACUAAACAACUAUUCUAGCACCAUGUGUACGAGGAAACAUGUUACUGUUGCACUGUCAGCAAAACCCUCAUUUUCCUAAAGGUGGAAUUCCCUUAUAAAGGUAAAUUAGUAUCUGUACAGAUAAUUGAUCUGUGAGUCAAAGGGACCUUGAAGAGUUCUAAAGAAUUAUGUCUAUUUUCUGAGACUGAAAGAGGUUCAUAGAUAUUAAUUAUUUUCUUAGUUGAAAAGAAGAGGAAAAAGAAAACCAAAGACACUGUUUACAUUUGGAUGUUGUUGAAACAGACUGCAUGGUGUCAGAUGUAGGGCGUUUUGUCUGUCCACCAUAUGUGACACUGAUAAUAAAAUAUUUGUCCUGGA